GCCAGCAACUCAAUGUACCAACUUAGAGGGAAGGAUAUUCACCCCCCGUUCCUUCCGGCUUUCCAUUUUCUUGCUCGCAAGAAAAUUUUCCUUUAAUGGAAACGACCGCGCUUCGAGCAUCUUCUUUGUUGCAUCGUCCGCGAGGAAAACGAAGAUGCUGACGCAGGAGUAAUGGUCGAGGAUUGCAACGAGAAGAAUAUAUUUGGCCUUGUACGCGCUCAAACUAAGUUUACUCAUCGUUACUGCGCCGACUGAAUUUUCGUUAAGGAAGACGGCGAAAACGCUAUGCGUCUUAUACCCAUUUGCAAUUUCUUUACCAACUUCCUCAGCGCCAGCGUUUCUCGAAGUAUAGUUGCCGUUCACCGACGUGCUUGUAGUCAGCAAAAUUUCAAACACUGAUCGAUUGUGCUCGAGAUUCAAAUUCUUUAACAAAUUUCCUGGCGAGAUGAAUUUGCUCGCGACUCGACAAUGGUUAAGAGAUUUUCGCAAGUUUCGAAAAUCCUCGUUGCGCUGCUCGUCGACGUUCCAUCGGGUCUUCUUUCUCGUUUUAGUUUGCAACGCUUGUCCUGAAAACUCGGCAAAAACCAGUGUUCCACGUUAACGUCACGCUCGCGAAAUUAUUUCCCGAGAUUUAUGUACGUCGUUACAGGGAAGAAUAAGCUACGCUUCUUGGUUGGAGCUUGUUUCGGGACGAAGCAAUACCUUUAUCUUCGUUAAGCGCAUUUCGCGCAGUUUCAGCCCGCCCGGCGAACAUAUUUUACUGCUUAUAUCCUCUCCGAGCCGUCAACUCGCUCUACUUGCUAGUACAUCAAAAAUCUGUUGUUGGGGGCAUGCUAAAGGUUUAUAAACAUUGAUGGCGACAGUUACGGCCUAAUAACAGACGAGCAUGACACCGCUUCUCGAGCUUUCGCCUGUCUGCGUACGUUGUACGUCGUAAUUUUAAGUGCUCCAUGGACCAGACGUAAAUCAAUCAUGCUUUCCUAAACGCACCAGUUAUCGUUGGCAAAUGAAUCAUCCUUGUUCGUGCGAUGCUAAUGAAUUGGCGACGACUGAAUCCCUGAUUAAAGGCUUAACGAAUUUCGUCCGAGUUACUUUACCGUUACUUGUGAAAUACUUGAACGGAUCCACGGUCAAAGAGUUUCCGUGUCCAAUGGCUUUCGACGGGCGAACUUCCGUCCGUAAUGAUUCGCUGGAGAUAUCGACGAUCGGCCAGCCGAUUCCGACCGUGAUUUAAAGGAACGACAGUAAUUAAAAGCGACGAUUCUAGUCGGCUAUCCCCCAGUCUACCUUUCGGUGCUUUUAAAUGCCGACGAGGACGCGGACAAAGAGUGAAAUCGACGAAUUACGAAACUCCGCGAGAAGAGAAUUAAGCGAAAGGGGAUCGUUCGAAGACUCCGAAAGGAACCACGCGAAAGAGUCCGAGGAGAAAGUGUUGAAGAGAGUGAGAGGAGAAAGAGAACGGAGCGUAGGCGAGUCGAGCCUAUCGGUCUACUCCAUCUUCGGUCCCAGGUUCAUCGUGAAUACGAAUGAGCUCCUGGUCGAUCGAGCUCGAGUACUAAUUGAGAAAGUUCGACGAAGUGCGCCCGUUGGUGUUUCCUUUGAAUGAAGAUAACCGGCCACCUCUGGGUGUCGGACUAAAUCUUCUUCUGGUGCUCGUUAAUAUGAAAGCUUGACUCACCGAUCGGUUGAACGAGGUAGGGCGACGAUGCCAGCAGCAGGGGGAUCAAUUGGAGCACACCCAUGAUGGCUUCGAUUCAUGUGUCCA